rnacentral:tRNA from 1 species
GGAAAAGUAGCUCAGUUGGCCAGAGCAAAUCACUCAUAAUGAUUAGGCCGUAGGUUCGAAACCUGCCUUUUCCACAA